GGUCUCGUGAUGUAACGGUUAGCAUAUGAGACUCUGAAUCUCAUUAUCCGAGUUCGAAUCUCGGCGAGACCU
rfam:Lichtheimia corymbifera JMRC:FST:9682, FST 9682, WGS project CBTN01000000 data, contig: SCAF00049